AAGACUAUAGACCUGCGGAGUACCUGCGGAAGGAUCAUUACCGAGUGCGGGCCCUCGCGGCCCAACCUCCCACCCUUGUCUCUAUACACCUGUUGCUUUGGCGGGCCCACCGGGGCCACCUGGUCGCCGGGGGACUGUCGUCUCCGGGCCCGCGCCCGCCGAAGCGCUCUGUGAACCCUGAUGAAGAUGGGCUGUCUGAGUACUAUGAAAAUUGUCAAAACUUUCAACAACGGAUCUCUA
rnacentral:misc_RNA from 1 species